rnacentral:rRNA from 1 species
AUUGAACGCUGGCGGCAGGCCUAACACAUGCAAGUCGAGCGGAUGAAGGGAGCUUGCUCCUGGAUCCAGCGGCGGACGGGUGAGUAAUGCCUAGGAAUCUGCCUGGUAGUGGGGGAUAACGUCCGGAAACGGGCGCUAAUACCGCAUACGUCCUGCGGGUGAAAGUGGGGGAUCUUCGGACCUCACGCUAUCAGAUGAGCCUAGGUCGGAUUAGCUAGUUGGUGGGGUAAAGGCCUACCAAGGCGACGAUCCGUAACUGGUCUGAGAGGAUGAUCAGUCACACUGGAACUGAGACACGGUCCAGACUCCUACGGGAGGCAGCAGUGGGGAAUGUUGGACAAUGGGCGAAAGCCUGGUCCAGCCAUGCCACGUGUGUGAAGAAGGUCUUCGGAUUGUAAAGCACGUUAAGUUGGGAGGAAGGGCAGUAAGUUAAUACCUUGCUGUUUUGACGUUACCAACAGAAUAAGCACCGGCUAACUUCGUG